CAGAGCCGUAGAAGAGGAGAUGAGAGCUGAAGACGUUUCAUUGCUACAAAACUACAAGGCCACAGUGAAAAGAGCCCAGAGCACACUGCAGCAUCCAGAGGAGCUUUCAGGAGCACUGAUCCAUGUGGCAAAACAUCUGGCCAACCUGCAGUUCAGAGUCUGGGAGAA